CGGCGGGGAGCGGGGGGAGCGAGCGGGGCCGGUCCCGGGACAGCGCCGGGAGCCCGGGGCAGACCGGGAGCUCUGCGGGGACAGGGACCCCGGACCGGGGCGGGAGCCGGUCCCGGUAUAGCCCGGUGACCGCAGACUGGGGGCUGCCGGGCUAUACUGGGGUAUAUACACUGGUAGCGACCGGUGACCCCAAACUGCGCGUGGGCCUCUCCCGGUAGCGCCCGGUGACCGCGGGCCGCGUUCCGGUGCCGUGCCCCGAUCGCCGUCCCAGGACACACCAGCGACUGCUGUCCCCCGUACGGAGCGGGGACCACCAGCACCUCCCGGUCCGGGCCGGGGGCUCCCCGGUGACCCCCCCGCCGCUCCCGGGUCCUGCCUGUGCCGGUCCCGCGGCUCCGGAGACCCGCGGCCAUGGGUGAGCGCAAGGGCACCAACAAGUACUACCCGCCCGACUUCGACCCAGCCAAGCAUGGCUCCCUCAACAAGUACCACCACAGCCACCCCCUGCGGGAGCGCGCCCGGAAGCUCUCCCAGGGCAUCCUCGUCAUCAGGUUCGAGAUGCCCUUCAACAUCUGGUGCGACGGGUGCCAGAACCACAUCGGGAUGGGUGUCAGGUACAACGCGGAGAAGAAGAAGGUGGGGAACUACUACACCACCCCCGUGUACAGGUUCCGCAUGAAGUGUCACCUGUGCGUCAACUACAUCGAGCUGCAGACGGACCCCGGGAACUGCGACUACGUCAUCGUCAGCGGGGCCCGGCGCAAGGAGGAGCGCUGGGACCCCGGGGACAGCGCCCAGGUCCUGCCCACCGCCCCGGAGCAGCGGGAGCGCCUGGCCCUGGACCCCAUGUUCCGCCUGGAGUACGGCGUGACGGACAAGGAGGUCCUGGAGCGCGCCACCCCCACCCUGACGCGGCUGCAGGAGGCUCAGGACGCCUGGAAGGACGACUUCGGCCUCAACAGCCGCCUGCGGAGGCGAUUCCGGGAGGAGAAGAAGACGCUGCGGGAGGAGGAGGAGGAGGCGGCGGCGCUGCGGGCGCGGGCCGGGCUCAGCAUCCCGCUGCUGCGGGAGGAGGAGGAGGAUCGGCGCCUCGCUGCCCUGCUCACCCUGCGCGCCCCGGACUCCUACGAGGAGAAGCAGCGGCUGAAGCGCUCCGAGAUCUCCCAGCGCCCCUGGUUCUCCCCCGGCACGGCCCGAGCGGCCGGGGGGGCCCUCCAGAAAUUGGGUCUGGGGGCGGCGAGAGCGCCGAGGACACCCCCGGGCCCCCCCCCGACCCCCGCCGGGCUCGGCAUCGUGCGGCGCCGGGCGGGCGAGGAGGGCGGGGGGACCGAGGGGCCGCCCCCAGCACCCCGGGGGACCCCCGAGGCCGGGCCGGAGCCCCCCGGUGCCGCCCCCCAGGCCGGGGAGGCCCCCCCGGACCCCCCCGGUGCCGCCCCCCGCCCCGUCCCUCGUCGCCGACUACUCGGACUCGGGCUCCGAGAGCUCCUGAGCGCGGUUUUGGGGGCCCGGACCCCCCCCAAACCCCGGGCUGAGGGGGGCGCCGAGCCCCCUGCCCACCCUCAGAGAGCCCCCCCUGUAAUUUAUGCCCCCCAAAUUAAAAGCCGUCGGUGGCGAACGCUGCGUGUCCCGUGUCCCCCGCGCCGCCCCGGGGCGGUCCCCGCCGGUGGGCGCUGCCCCCGGAAGGGGCGGGCGCUGUCGCGGGCGCUGUCGCGAUGGCGCUGGAGUCGCUGCGGUACCGGCGCGGCUCCCUGGAGGUGCUGAACCAGCGGCUGCUGCCGGGGCAGCUCCGCUACGAGCGGGUGGGGGGCGUGGAGCGCGCCUGGGGCGCCAUCCGCGACAUGGAGCAUCAUUGAGUACAUCGAGGGGCUCCUGGAGAAGGACCGGAGGGACAACCGGAGCAUUGGGGCGCACGGGGCGAGCCACAUCCUGGGGAGGGUCCCGGGGGGCGGUCCCGUCACCCUCCUGACCCACUGCAACACCGGG